GUUCACCGUUACUGGCUGGUGGAAUGCUCUUCCCACCCCCAUCUGGAAUGCCGAAUCCCUGACAAUUUCAAGCGAUAGCUGAAAACUCAUCUCUCUUUCGUCAACAUU